rnacentral:rRNA from 1 species
GACGAACGCUGGCGGCGUGCUUAACACAUGCAAGUCGAACGGAAAGGCCCUGCUUUUGUGGGGUGCUCGAGUGGCGAACGGGUGAGUAACACGUGAGUAACCUGCCCUUGACUUUGGGAUAACUUCAGGAAGCUGGGGCUAAUACCGGAUAGGAGCUCCUGCUGCAUGGUGGGGGUUGGAAAGUUUCGGCGGUUGGGGAUGGACUCGCGGCUUAUCAGCUUGUUGGUGGGGUAGUGGCUUACCAAGGCUUUGACGGGUAGCCGGCCUGAGAGGGUAACCGGCCACAUUGGGACUGAGAUACGGCCCAGACUCCUACGGGAGGCAGCAGUGGGGAAUAUUGCACAAUGGGCGGAAGCCUGAUGCAGCAACGCCGCGUGCGGGAUGACGGCCUUCGGGUUGUAAACCGCUUUCGCCUGUGACGAAGCGUGAGUGACGGUAAUGGGUAAAGAAGCACCGGCUAACUACGUG